UACGUAGGGGGCGAGCGUUGUCCGAAGUUACUGGGCGUAAAGCGCGCGUAGGCGGGGGGUUAAGUGGGAGGUGAAAGGCUGGGGCUCAACCUCAGCAGUGCCUCCCAUACUGGCUCUCUUGAGGGCGGUAGGGAGAAGUGGAAUUCCUGGUGUAGCGGUGAAAUGCGCAGAUAUCAGGAAGAACACCCGUGGCGAAGGCGGCUUUCUGGGACGGUACUGACGCUGAGACGCGAAAGCGUGGGGAGCGAACAGG
rnacentral:rRNA from 1 species